GAAUGCCGGGAUGAGCUUGGAGGUCGAGGAGCUCGUGGCGCGAGACUGGUGUGUCCAGGCCUGAAUUCUGGCAAUGGAUUGCUGGUUGGAAAGAAAAAGCACCACUUCCUGCUUGGCUCAUAAAAAUCCCCCAAGUGCGCUCUUCUCUUCUUUUCUCCAUCUGCUGGCUUACUGGGGAGGACUCCAGAGACCUAUGAGAAACAAGAACUUUAAGACAGAAGAAGCCUUGAACAGAGUCUGCUGCCACUCCUUUGCCACCCCAUCAGAUGUAAGCAAGAAAUAACAUUUAUUUUGGGAUUUUGCCAUUGAAGAAUCUUUUUAUAAACCAAUAUCAUAUCAGAUAUGGAUAUAUUUGACUGACAGACACAACUGUAUAAAAAUUAUUGAAAGGGACAUACUGAAUUUGCUCUCAAACCAAGGUGAAUCUUCUGUCUUAUGUAUUUACUGAUAAUCACUGUUGUGGUUCUUUUGCUUUAUUGGUAAUUGACCACCUGUUCAUGUCUGCAUGUUGGAGAUAUGCUUGCUUAGCUACCUAAGUGUAAGACUGAGUUAGGCACUCAGGAGUCCAGUGGUAAAUCAUCUGAGUCAUUUACAGUUUGGUGUGAAUGUGCUUAUCAUAUCCUUCUCUCAAAGAAGGUUUUUAUAAGGGAAAGAGGAAGAAGAUCCUGGAUAUCUUUAAAGGGUAAAUAGAAGACAGCAGUGGAAGUGGUGGCUAGAGCUGAAGCCAGAAUUAAUCUUCUUUGUAAUUUUGUUUAGCACUCACUGUACUAGAAUGUUAGUUUUGGAUGAGUCUGCCAUUAAACCAUUAGGUAACAAAGUGAUUCACAAAUUCUGAAUUUUCAGAAAGAGUAUUUUAAAACAUAGUUUUGAUUAUUUUGAAUUCUGCUCAGUGUCUCUGCAUAGCUUAAUCUGCAUCUGCUAUUUUGAAUAAUCCAUUGCCUCUCUGAUUAUUUAAAUAUUUAACUCUGGUUUAUGUCUAAUAGCAUCGUAACCAGGAUUCUUAUCAUUCAUGCUAUUAUUUUUUCUGCUUUCAAACAUUCUUUACUGUAGAUUUUUCUUCAGAAAUUUUAGAAAGUACUUUUCAGGUAAAAGACUGAAUUCUUUUGUUUUAACUUUUUAUUUUGGAAAAUUUAAGAUGUACAAAAGUAGAUAGAAUAUCAUAGAGUAUAUCCAUGUACCAUCACCCAGUUUCAACAGUUACCAGCUCAUGCCAAUGUUAUUUUGUUUCUACCCUCACCAACUUCCUCUGUCAUAUUAUUCUGAGGCAAAAGCUAGAUAUGUUAUAGUUUCAUCGACACAUAUUUCGCUAAUAGAGGCCAAGUAGUUUUUAAAAUCAUGAUGAAGUCCUGAUUUUAACAUAUUUGAUGUCUUUUAGUCCACUACAGUAAGUAUCUUAUUGAGGCUUAAAUUAUUCUAUAUUUGACUGGUAGGUGCCUCUCUUUGGGUUUUCAAGCUUUUUUGGUAAAUAGUCCCCCUUUUCAGAGUCGUUGAUCAUUUCCUUGCUAUCUGUUAUGACAAAACGUAUAGACUCAUCUUACACAUUUCCUACUCCAUACUUUUGGUCAAUCUUUCCUUCACUGAGUUCUGGUUCUUUAUAGUGAAGAAUGGAAUUUCAAGACAAGAAUUUGGGUGCAAAGGGUGCUCAUUGUUCCAAAAAAGACUUUCAUUUUGAUACUUGUAAGCUUUACUUUUUGUAUUCUCUGAUUUAUAGUAUUUAUUUUACAUAUUUUUGUAUAAAUGAAUUACUGUGUUUUUUCUGUUAUGUGAAGCCAUGAUGUAUACUAUGAACUACCCAGUUAAUGGCAGGUUUUUUGGAAAAGAAAAUCACCUAAAAAUAUUAAAUGUCUGUAGAAUAAA